rnacentral:misc_RNA from 1 species
GCUCCGUAGGUGAACCUGCGGAGGGAUCAUUACCAGAGAUGGCGGGCCCCCGCGCCCCCGUCCCCAACCCUUUGCUGACCAAACCACUUUUGCCUCGGGGGCAGAGCGGCCUCCGCCGCCCCCGGUGGACCAUUUAACCCUGUCUCUGUACGUCGGAGUCUUUGAUAAAUGAAUAAAAAACUUUUAACAACGGAUCUCUUGGUUCUG